rnacentral:rRNA from 1 species
CCUACGGGAGGCAGCAGGGAGGAAUAAGGGGCAAUGGACGAGAGUCGGAACCAGCCAAGUAGCGUGAAGGAGGAAAGCCCUAGGGGUUGUAAACUGCGGUUAUAUGGGAAUAAAAUGUGCCACGUGUGGGAUUUUGUAUGGACCAUAUGAAUAAGGAUCGGCUAACUCCGUGCCAGCAGCCGCGGUAAGACGGAGGAUCCGAGCGUUAUCCGGAUUUAUUGGGUUUAAAGGGAGCGUAGGGGGAUUGUUAAGUCAGUUGUGAAAGUUUGCGGCUCAACCGUAAAAUUGCAGUUGAAACUGGCAGUCUUGAGUACCGUAGAGGUGGGCGGAAUUCGUGGUGUAGCGGUGAAAUGCUU